rnacentral:rRNA from 1 species
GUAAUCGUAGAUCAGAAUGCUACGGUGAAUACGUUCCCGGGCCUUGUACACACCGCCCGUCACACCAUGGGAGUGGGUUGCAAAAGAAGUAGGUAGCUUAACCUUCGGGAGGGCGCUUACCACUUUGUGAUUCAUGACUGGGGUGAAGUCGUAACAAGGUAACCGUAGGGGAACCUGCGGUUGGAUCACCUCCUUA